ensembl:lncRNA
CUUGUUGUUUACGUAUAUUGCUCAAGCGCCUGUUGUGGAUUAUUCGCAGAGUUUCCUUGAUUAAAGACUGUUAAAUGUUUCCUCGUGACUCCAGCAUGUUCCCUGAACAGCAUGAUGUGACAGAAGACCCGACCCAACAAGAGUAUGACUGCAGCUGAGGACGCACUGUGGGGUUUGUAGCAGGGCGUCCUGAGGUUGAAGUGAUAUGUGGAGGGUUUUCUCGAGCUCACCCACCAGGAGAGCUGGCACGACGCUGCUCUAGGUGCAUGCUUCCUGCUGGGGUUGGAUGACAAGACAAUCUGCUUUGAAGAAAUAAAGGAACAUCCCAAGCCUUGUCAUCCAGCUCCCGCUGGAACACGCUGCGUCUCCCCAGCUUACCCCGCAUCGAGAACCCCCGCAUACCUCUCUAACGGCUCCUACCACCUGCCCAACCCCAAAUUCCCGCUGCCCUCUGAAACUCCACCAUAGUUCUCAACUGUGGAGCGUCGGCCACUCUGAAGUCUAUACAGUCUGCCACUUACUCAAGCCCACUGGAUGUCCAAAUUAACCCCAACUGUAAGAGGGGGACGAGGAGCAGCCCUCAUCCUCGCAUCUAUAUAGGCCCCAGAGCUCGCUCCAGUGUCGGCUUCAGCCCCCGAAUCUAGCCUGGUGAGGGCUCCUAUGCCUGAGUUAAGCCCAGGGAUGGCUCUGGAUCCCCAGUUAAGCCCAAGGAGGGCUCUUAAUCCUCAGUUAAGCCUAAAGAAGGCUCCAGUCCCUGAUUUUUGCCCCAAGAGGGCGUCAGGUGCCGCUAUGGCUCCCCGAGCUGCCUGCUCUGCCAUGGCCUCCUGGACUACCUGCUCCGACAUGGCCUCCUAGACUGCCUGCUCUGCCAUGGAUCCUGGAACAGGCACCACCCUGGAGGCCUUCUGUCCUUGAACCCUGCUCCAAGAGGCCUCCAGAGCGCCCACCCCCCCUACCCAUUGGAUAUUGUAUGGUGCAGGACACACCUUCCGGGAGGGGGGAGUUAUGUCAGACUCUGUUCUGUGUUUUGUGUGUAUUUAGUUCUCCCUCGUGUUUCCUGAUGCCCAUAUUUGGUCUUGUUCCUGUCCUCGUUUUGUCUUAAUUUGAUUAGUCAUCCCAUGCAGCUGUGUUUCUACUUGUUACUUUCUACUUGUUUACGUGUGUUGCUCAAGCACCUGUUCUGGAUUAUUCCCAGUGUUUCCUUGAUUAAAGACUGUUAAAUGUUUCCUCAUGACUCCAACAUGUUCCCUGAACAGCGUCAGAUUAUUAUUUUUAUUUUUUUCGUAGUACUGGCAUAGCAGAAACACCUUCUCAGCACUGAUUAGUACAGUGUUUUGCUGGAUAGGUAAUAGCUUGUUUUGUUGUCUUCAAAGUAGAAUUGGAAUUUUUUUUAUUUAUUUUUUUUUUUUUAGUAAAAUUUGUCUUUUGACCCAUGCAGUAUUUAGCAACAGAGUGAUUUGAUUAUGGAAAUUCUUCAAAAUCUUUAAUGCAUUCUAAAUCUGUUUGGUAGAUCCACAUGCCAGAAUGCUCGUUUAAUCCAUUUAAAGACACUAAAUUGUCUUGUGUGUUUUGGUGGAUGAGCAUCAGAAUCACCUUAGGCUAUGUUGAAUGAG